AGUGAACGCUGGCGGCGUGCUUAACACAUGCAAGUCGAGCGAUAUUUGACAGCGUAUCGUCAGGUAUAGCGGCAGACGGGUGAGUAAUACUUGGGCAAUCUGCCCUUGAGUGGGGGACAACCUGCCGAAAGGCGGGCUAAUACCCCAUAAGACCACAGGGAUGCAUAUUCCAGGGGUCAAAGCUCCGCAAGGGGCGCUUGAGGAGGAGCCCGAGUCCUANCAUGGUAGUUGGCGGGGUAAUGGCCCACCAAGCCGUUGACGGGUAGCCGGCCUGAAAGGGCAAACGGCCACACUGGCACUGAGACACGGGCCAGACUCCUACGGGAGGCAGCAGUGGGGAAUUUUGGACAAUGGGGCAACCCUGAUCCAGCGACGCCGCGUGGAGGAUGAAGGUC
rnacentral:rRNA from 1 species